rnacentral:rRNA from 1 species
GAUGAACGCUAGCGGCAGGCCUAAUACAUGCAAGUCGGACGGGAUUCAGGAGCUUGCUUCUGAUGAGAGUGGCGCACGGGUGCGUAACACGUAUGUAACCUCCUUGUAUCAGGGGGAUAGCCUCUCGAAAGAGCGAUUAAGCCCGCAUAAAAUCACAGCACAGCAUUGUGUAAUGAACAAAUAUUCAUAGGAUCAAGAUGGGGAUGCGGAACAUUAGCUAGAUGGCGAGGUAACGGCCCACCAUGGCGACGAUGUUUAGGGGAUCUGAGGAGAUGGCCCCCCAGACUGGAACCAAGGCACGGACCAGAAUGCUACGGGAGGCAGCGGUAAGGAAUACUGGGCGAGGAACGGAAGCCUGAACCAGCCAUGCCGGGUGAAGGAGGACGGCGAUACGAGUUGUAAACUGCUUUUAAACAAGAAUAAUCCCAGAUACGGGUAUCUGGCUGAAUGUACUGUAAGAAUAAGGAUCGGCUAACUCCGUG